rfam:Spinacia oleracea cultivar SynViroflay scaffold14112.con0004.1, whole genome shotgun sequence.
UGGCCAAUGAUGAAUUUUAUUUAGACAAAUUGGAAUUACCGUCUGAAUUAAUCAAUUUUGAUGAGAUACUGUUUCUGAGGCUUUAA